GAGCAUGCGCAGUUUGUCAUAAAGAAAAAGAGCGUGAAAAGGAAUUGCAUCUUAGGUUAAAAUACAUGCUCUGCGCAGAAAGCUCUUCGCCGGGCUUAUAUAUGAAAGAAAUCAAAGAAGUGAAGUCUGAGCUUAAAGUUAUGGAUGAAGAAAAUUACAAGG
rnacentral:lncRNA from 1 species